CUGGUCUGAGAUUAGACGUUUCCAUGUCGCGCAAGCAGCUGUACGAGUGCUCAUCAGAACAUGUUUACAAUCGUGCUCCUGUGGCCGCCUCUAUACGAAG